rnacentral:rRNA from 1 species
AUUAGAGUUUGAUCCUGGCUCAGGAUGAACGCUGGCGGCGUGCCUAAUACAUGCAAGUCGAACGAGUUCUCGUUGAUGAUCGGUGCUUGCACCGAGAUUCAACAUGGAACGAGUGGCGGACGGGUGAGUAACACGUGGGUAACCUGCCCUUAAGUGGGGGAUAACAUUUGGAAACAGAUGCUAAUACCGCAUAGAUCCAAGAACCGCAUGGUUCUUGGCUGAAAGAUGGCGUAAGCUAUCGCUUUUGGAUGGACCCGCGGCGUAUUAGCUAGUUGGUGAGGUAAUGGCUCACCAAGGCGAUGAUACGUAGCCGAACUGAGAGGUUGAUCGGCCACAUUGGGACUGAGACACGGCCCAAACUCCUACGGGAGGCAGCAGUAGGGAAUCUUCCACAAUGGACGCAAGUCUGAUGGAGCAACGCCGCGUGAGUGAAGAAGGCUUUCGGGUCGUAAAACUCUGUUGUUGGAGAAGAAUGGUCGGCAGAGUAACUGUUGCCGGCGUGACGGUAUCCAACCAGAAAGCCACGGUUACUACGUGCCAGCAACCCGCGGUAAUACGUAGGUGGCAAGCGUUAUUCCGGAUUUAUUGGGCGUAAAGCGAACCGCAGGCGGUUUUUUAAGUCUGAUGUGAAAGCCCUCGGCUUAACCGAGAAACCCCAUCGGAAACUGGGAAACUUGAGUGCAAAAAGACAGUGGAACUUCAUGUGUACGGUGAAAUGCGUCAUUAAGUAUUCCGGCUUGGGGAGUACGCCGCAAGGUUUGAAACUCAAAGGAAUUUGACGGGGGGCCCGCACAACGGUGAGCAUGUGGUUUAAUUGAAGCAACGCGAAGACCCUUACCAGGUCUUGACAUUUUUUGAUCACCUGAGAAGAUCAGGUUUCCCCUUGGGGGCAAAAAUGACAGGUGGUGCAUGGUUGUCGUCAGCUCGUGUCGUGAGAUGUUGGGUUAAGUCCCGCAACGAGCGCAACCCUUAUGACUAGUUGCCAGCAUUUAGUUGGGCACUCUAGUAAGACUGCCGGUGACAAACCGGAGGAAGGUGGGGAUGACGUCAAAUCAUCAUGCCCCUUAUGACCUGGGCUACACACGUGCUACAAUGGAUGGUACAACGAGUUGCGAGACCGCGAGGUCAAGCUAAUCUCUUAAAGCCAUUCUCAGUUCGGACUGUAGGCUGCAACUCGCCUACACGAAGUCGGAAUCGCUAGUAAUCGCGGAUCAGCACGCCGCGGUGAAUACGUUCCCGGGCCUUGUACACACCGCCCGUCACACCAUGAGAGUUUGUAACACCCGAAGCUGGUGGCGUAACCCUUUUAGGGAGCGAGCCGUCUAAGGUGGGACAAAUGAUUAGGGUGAAGUCGUAACAAGGUAGCCGUAGGAGAACCUGCGGCUGGAUCACCUCCUUAAU